GAUGAACGCUGGCGGCGUGCCUAAUACAUGCAAGUCGAGCGAACAGACGAGGAGCUUGCUCCUCUGACGUUAGCGGCGGACGGGUGAGUAACACGUGGAUAACCUACCUAUAAUACUUGGAUAACUUCGGGAAACCGGAGCUAAUACCGGAUAAUAUAUUGAACCGCAUGGUUCAAUAGUUAAAGACGGUUUUGCUGUCACUUAUAGAUGGAUCCGCGCCGCAUUAGCUAGUUGGUAAGGUAACGGCUUACCAAGGCGACGAUGCGUAGCCGACCUGAGAGGGUGAUCGGCCACACUGGAACUGAGACACGGUCCAGACUCCUACGGGAGGCAGCAGUAGGGAAUCUUCCGCAAUGGGCGAAAGCCUGACGGAGCAACGCCGCGUGAGUGAUGAAGGUCUUCGGAUCGUAAAACUCUGUUAUUAGGGAAGAACAAAUGUGUAAGUAACUAUGCACGUCUUGACGGUACCUAAUCAGAAAGCAACGGCUAACUACGUG
rnacentral:rRNA from 1 species